ensembl:lncRNA
AGACAAUUCAUCUCCUAAAACUCUCCAAAGAGUGAUCCUGGAGAAAGGGGAAGAGGAACAUCUAAGACAAGAUAAACAGCACCUUUACCUAUGCUAUCAAGGGUUAAGCAGCCAGAAUAAAUGGGAGUCAGCAACAGGAAAGAGAAGGUUGAUCACUGAAGACUUUGACCCUAUCGAGUCCAGUCCAAGCAACCCGGAGAGAUCAGCACUGUUUCCUUCCCUGUUUUUCAGAUGAGGACCCAGAGGCACAGAGGACAGGUGGAUUCUUUACCCACUGAGCCAUCAGAGAAGGCCAGGGAGACCAAAUCAGGGAGAGGGGAAUAGACGCGACACACAGGAUGCUGACCAGGCACUCAGCCUACAUAGUUAGCAUACUAAAAUACUGAAGAUAAGAUGCUGUGUGAUGGUUCAUCACUGCUGUUUUUCUUCUGAAUAAAAAGGG